CAGCUCAGACCCUUUUUGUAGG
rnacentral:miRNA from 1 species